UGUUGGAUAGCUCAGUCGGUAGAGCAUGAGAUUCUUAAUCUCAGGGUUGUGGGUUCAAGCCCCACGUUGGGCAA